ACCUGAUCCGUCCCAGGCCCACCGAUCAUUAUUAAAAAAAACAUGUACAUAGUCAUAGACACAGAAAAAUGUAUUAGCUAAGUUAAUAGGGAUAUCUCGACAUCAUUGAUAAACAUCAUCGUUGCACUUAUACACAAUUUUUAGUUGUCUCUUUCUUCAAACCCUCUCUUCUCUUUCUCGAAAACGAAAUGGCUCCCCUUAGAGUCUUCUUUGUUUUUUUUUUUUUUGCUAAGGGGGGUUUUCUUUGUUCUUAGUCGGAUCUGAUUGUUUCUUUGUUCUUACAAGUAGGUGUAAUUGUCAUGAUAAUCGCAUCUUAUAUCAUUCGUCGCGUGUUCCCUCUCUGAUUCCUUGAAAGCGAGUUUGCUCUCCCGAUUUCAUGAGUUGCGUUGAAUCCUAAUCCCUUUCCAUCAUUCAUUAUUCAGAUAGUGAUGGAUAUUUGGCUGAGGUAUUAUUUAACUUGGUUUUUAUUGAAGUUAAUCUGUGAUGGUACCAAGUAUAUAGGAAAAAGUCACGUGUUCAGAACUAUGACUUGACAAGUAUAAUUAUGAAGGAAACAUAAUCUCUUCUCUGUCAGAUUUUAGAAAGUUUUGUCUGAGAGGUGUGCGAACUUUAACUGAUCUUUGUUGUAUUUAUGUGGUGGUGUAUAAACAAGGCUAAUUAAGUGAUGGAAUCAUAGUUGAUGUUUGGUAGAUAUUUGUUGCUUCAGAAAUUAUAAUGCGUUCUUUUAGAAUCUGUUUCAGAGUUUUCUUAACUUUUAGCUUGUGUAAUGUUUGUGUUUGGUUGAAGAGAGAAGGUGAAGUAUCAUAUAUAUUACAUACUGUUAUUUUCUUUAGUUAAGCUGUACUCCAUCUGUUUCUCAUUAUAUUACAUACAGAUUAAGAAAGUAUCCGAAAUAUAUGUAAGUUAUUGUUAAUUAUAGUUCUCUAACCAAUAGUAUUUGAGAUAAAUAAGAUUAUUUAUAAAAUCAAUGCAAUUUUCAAUUAAUUUUCAGCUGAAAAUAAAUAUAAUUUGCAUUGAAAUUUUAAAGUGACACUUUUUUUGUAACAAGAAAAAAAAUGUUAAAAUGACAAUUAUUAUGAAACAGAGAGAGUAUUAUGUUAACAAAUAAUAUGACAUUAAUUAUUACCUCCUAAAAACUAUUAAGCACAAUCAACUACCAAAUAAAUAUAAUCUGAAUUUAGAAAGUGUAAUAAAUAAAAUAUAGCACCAAUAUUACUAUCCUUAUUCUAUUCAUCUUGCGUAUUUGAAUAUUCUGCUGCUCAACCUUAUAUGUACUCAAGUUUAUAUCGAAAAUAGAGUUAUUAGUGGAACAAUUAUAUGCCUUAACCAUACAAUACUAAUUGUCGAAAUAUAUAAAUAUUAUGUAAGAUUUGUCAACCUUACAUUUUUGAAUUAUUUAUAUAUAGUUUCAAAGAUAUUGAGUCAUAAUCACAUCAUAAAUUAUGUAAGUAUAUAGUUCACAAAUUUUAGUGCAUUAAGAAACUAUAUUUUUGAAAUAUAUAAAUCGUGUUUAAUGUUAUAUGAGUCAUAACUACUAAUUACCAUAUAACUUUAUGUAAGUGAUAUUUAAUAAUUUUAUAAGAUAUGAAUAUUAAUGUUCAAAAUCAUCAUCCUGCUAAACAAAUUAUCAUCCUCUCUGAAACUAUAUUAAUGAUGGCAGUGAUAUUUAAUAAUUUUAUAAGAUAUGAAUAUUAAUGUUCCUUAUGUACCAAUACCUUAAUUAUCUCUACUAUAUAUACAAAGCUAUAGAAGAGGUUAACACAACAAAUAUUUUCGAACUUUGACUCUCUCUUACGAUCAUUAUAAGAACUAGAGAUUUUACCGCGCUAUGCGCGGUUUGUUUGUCUAUAAACAUUAAACUUUAGAUUUUAAAAAAAAAUUAAGUUUGUUUGUUUUUUAAUAUUAUAUCAUUUAUUUGUUUCGAUAUAUUUAUUUGUUUAAAAUAUCAUUAAUUUGUGUUAACAUAUUAAAUGUCUCUAUUAAUCUUUUCGUAACCAUGUUUAAAUCUUUCUUAAAAUUUAAAAUAUUCUACAUUUAAUAAGAUAAAAAAAAUCUAUCAUCUUAUAUAUAUUAUAUAUUUUCUUAUAUAUCGUCUGAUUUUUGAAGUAUAGGUAAAUAAUCUUUAUUUCAUAUAAAUAUAUAAUUUUAUAAAUGUGUAAUAAUUUUGAAUACUUCUGUAAAUUUUGAUAACCAAUAAAAUGAUUCAGCAAUUUUUUAAGUUUUGAAGCCAUAAUUUAUUUUCAAUAUUAAACUUUUUGGUAUUUAUUAUUUUGUGAAUAAUUAUUUGUUAAAAUACCCAAUUAGAGUUUUGAAUAAUGUUUAUGAAGUUCUUGAAAAUGAAUUUUUUAAUAAUGCUGAACUGAGUAUAAAUUUUCAUAUGUUAUUUACGUCAUUUAUCAAAAAAAACAAAAUCGUACAUAAUUAAUUGAAAAUAUUUGUCUGACAUUUAUAUAUUUAAGGAUUGUUCCUUUGUUGUUCAAUAUAUUUGUUUGAAAGAAACUGCUUGUUUAUCCCAUAUAAACAAUAGCAUAGUUGUUAAUUUAUCAUAAAUCAAAUGUAACUAUAUAAUUAAUGUGAGAAAUUAUAAAAUGUUUUAUGAUAAAGUUAAAAAAAAAAAAGGUAAACUUGAACCAAAAAAACUAACCGAGCGAUGAAUGAUUCGCUUGUCUUUCUGAGCAGCAGUUUCCUCAGUUUUCUCCUGGCUUGUAGAAGGGCUCUGAAGCUCAAACACAGAAACAUCAGAGGGCGGGAGAGCGAUUCAUUUGGUGAUGACGACAUUUCGUUAUGUGAAGAAGCAGUAGCAUACGCAGUUUGGGUGUCGCUCAAGCUUCUCUCGAUCCAUGUUGUUGGCAUGCUCCUCCCGCUAAACUCAUCCUGCAGCAACCUCUCAUUCUUGAUGUCGCGCAUUUCAGCUGCUUUGACGAAGAAUCCUUUGUCGUACCAACUUGGCGGUGUGUCAGCAGCAUCUUUCUGAAACCAAGAUGGGGAAGAACUCAAUAACACGCUUGCUCUGCAGCUCCGGCUUCUAGUCAGUUUCAUGCCUCUGACCGGUUGUGAUUCUCUCUCCGUAAGCCAAGAGAAUGGCUUUUCAGGAGAGGGAGUGAUAAAUACUACUACUAAGGCGGCUUGUACCAAACUCAUCAAUAGAUGAUUUGAAAUCAGCAUGGUGGAGGGGUUUUGAUGAGUUUGCUUUCUUGUUUUGGUUCAGUAGAGGCACCACUCACUUCCUUUACUCUUUCUUCUUCUUCCUCCUCUUCCUUCUCUUUCUUUUCAGCUUCAGUUGGUGGUUGUAUGUUCUUUGGCUCUGUCACACAUACUGGUUCUUCUUCAAUGGAUAGUUGUAGGUUCUUUGGCUCUGUCAAAGAUACUGGUUCUUCUUCUGCA